GUGUCAGCAGCCGCGGUAAUACGGAGGGUGCAAGCGUUAUCCGGAUUCACUGGGUUUAAAGGGAGCGCAGGCGGAUUGGUAAGUCAGUGGUGAAAGGCUUGAGCUUAACUCGGGAACUGCCAUUGAUACUAUCAGUCUUGAAUAUUGUUGAGGUUUGCGGAAUGGGUCAUGUAGCGGUGAAAUGCAUAGAUAUGACCCGGAACACCUAUUGCGAAGGCAGCAGGCUAAACAAAGAUUGACGCUGAGGCUCGAAAGCGUGGGGAUCAAACAGGAUUAGAUACCCUGGUAGUCC
rnacentral:rRNA from 1 species